rnacentral:misc_RNA from 2 species
CAACCCCUCAGGCCCUGCCUGGCGUUGGAGGACUGCGCUACGCAGCCUCCCAAAGCAAGCGGCGGCGGCGCCCCAAAUCCGAACGCAGUAGUUACCUCUCGUUCUGGGUGCUGGGACGGCGUCCGGCCGGAAAACCCCCAUCUAUAUCGU